GGGGUUUUUCACUGAUUAAAGCCAUUUCCUCAUUACGACUUAAUGAAUUACGUACAAAAUUCGGAAAAUUGAUUGAAUAAAGUGGAAUUCAGAGCAGUGCCCAUGGAAAAUUGUCAGACUCCAUUUGUUUUUCAAAUAAUCAACGUUGGACCGAGGCACGACAACGAGUUUGAGGUGAAGAUGCUGUUGUCGGAAGUGGUCGAUCUUUCAACGCUGAAAAUAACUGUCAAAUCUAAUAAUCUGAGGGUGGGAGUUCAGUGCAAUGUGUCAUUACAGGUUAAAGAAUCAUCGGGAGUUCAGAGAAAAAAUGUGGAAAAUUUUUUGAUUCCUGAGGAUUACGACGGAGACAGGGUCCGGGCUAAUUACGAUAUCAAAAAUCGAACUCUCAUUAUUCACGCACCUCGAUGCGAUUAUUAUUGCAAGAACUGAUCGACUUCGAUUUCACUCAAACCCUCCAUUUUUAUCUCUAUACUCCAAUAAAACAAAUGAAUUUUCAAUCCAAUGGAUUUUUUCGUGGAUUUAGUUGUUUUUUGAGUCUCGAUCUCUUGGAAAUUAUCGGUUAAAAAAUUAUUUCAACGGAAAAUUGAUGGUUUAAUUGGAGAAUUUGUUAAUCAUGAGAUAAACGAAUGGCGGGAAAUUCGGUGUUAAUUUGGUUGAAAUUUAAAGGGUAAUAAUGACUCUUCCUUCGCAUUGCCUCGAGAAUUCAGUGUUCCUUCGUAAGGGUGAUUACCUGAAUUUCGAGAGAGUUUCGAAUGGAGUUAAAACUCGUCUGGAAUUUGCCAGAGUCCCUGACUUCUAUUUGAUCGACGAGGAAUCGUAUUUCGCUACUGAGAUGAAAAUUGAGGGUCUUAAAGUAAUGACAGCAGCCCUAGCAGCUGACGACGUACUAAAUAUUCGUCUGCAGGAGGUGAAAAACCCCAACGCGAUUAGAAACAUAAAUUUCUUCAUUCCAAUUGAGGCGAAUGCUCAACUGGUCUCAGUGGAAGUUUUCGGAGGAGGUACAAUUUACAUUCGUGCACCAGUUGGGAAAAUUCCACUGUAAGAAGAGGAGAGCAACGAGCAAGAACUUGAAACAUGCCCCGAUAUAUCUCGGGAUGCCAAAAUAAAUCUCAUGAAAAAAUAAUGAUCUAGUGAAGUUGUCCUCCUUCGUUUUAUUUAAAAGUAAAAAUAAAUGGAGCCAAGACGCUCGUUUUUUUUGUAUAA